UCCCUAAUAACUACAUGGUCCCCGA
rnacentral:piRNA from 1 species